rnacentral:SRP_RNA from 1 species
UGACGGACUAGGCCGGGCGGGUAGGCCCCGCUCCGAAGACCACGGUACGGCCUCAAGUGGUGGCCGAACCCGGGGGCGUGCGGGCGGACCGACGCGGGCCCCGGAAGCUGACGUGGAAGCCUCGUCCCACGGGGACAGCGGUCCGCGGGGCGCGUCCGCAGGGACGCGCUCCCGCGGUUCACCGGCGGCAGCGGGUCAGGCACGGAAGUGAGCAGCCCAUCGUCGGACGCCCGUCGCUCGUGGGGUCGCGGGGUGGAGGAGGCGACCGGGACUCCCCGUGGCGGAACGCCCGGGCAAUCCCGCCGUCCGCUU